AGCUCUCUGCUCAGCUCCCUCGCCGGCUGCAGAGUGAGGCUGGGAGCCGGAAUAUGACGUCAUCUUCUGGCUCCCAGCUUCACUCUGUGGUGCGCGAGGGAGCUGAGCAGUCAGCUCAGAGG